rnacentral:lncRNA from 1 species
AAAGCUAUUAGCAUGAACCAGCACUCAGAACAAACCAGAAAUUAAACUAAACGAAAUAAAACAUCUAAUCACACAUAAUGGUAAUAACUAAAAGUAAUACAUAAAAAAUUUAAGAUGUCUGUUCUAAUUUCAACUUGAACUUCCAAAUCUUCAUACAUGUUAGACAAUACCCAUUUCCAUGACAAGUUUUGAUAGUUUACCUGAAAAUUACAAAAGGAAGAAGAGGUGAUUGCAAAGACCAGCAACAACAGUAGAACCCUGCAACAAGUAAUGAACCAGCAAACAAAUUUUAAAACCCAGCAAAUGAAGUAUAAUUGUCCAGCCCCCAAUUUCAAUCACUCAAUGAACCAGAAGACUUCCAACCAGACUUGAUCUUAAAUCAUUGCAACCCAAAUGAAGCAUAAAUUGUUUCAGCAGUCAAAGAUCUCACGAUUUAAAGCCAACAAUCCAAUAGAACAGUGUUUUUUAUCUGAUAUUUUUAGUUGUUUCUCUCUUCUGGAAUUUUUAUCUCUUAGGUCUGCCGUGAAAGGCAAGAAAAAAUGUCGUUAUAGGCAAGGGAAGUAGGGUAAAUAGCAGGUUUCAGUUUUGCAUUUAGACCCUUUUUCAAUUUUCAUUUUUGCUUAGCUAGCCUUAAUUAAAAAUCUGAAAUUAAUUUUAAACUCUCCAUCCAUAUUCCUAGAAGCUUCUCAAUUGUUACCCUUAGAUUCCCCUCCCUAAACUUUCCAAACUAUCCCUAAACCCUUGUUAAUUAACCAAGUAGCCCCGAACAGGUAUGGGUCAAAUUGACCCUGGCUAAAUUCACUCAAAACCCAACCCCAAACUAUGACUCUGAACCUAAGGCCUAGAUCCCAAGCCCAAAUAUAGUCAGAACCAAAUUUAACUACGAAGAACAAAACCAGAAGCAGACUGAAUCAAUUUUCAAAAUUCAAUUGACAAGCCAAAAUUAGCAGACCGAACGAACUAAUGAGUUUAAAUUAAACACGCCUAACAAAAUGAACCCUAAGAAACUAAGAAAAUAGGAAAAGAUCUAGGAACAGAAAAUGGGGCGACAAAUGGAG